CUCUUCCCAUUAGCACCACUUCGAGACACCCGCGUUCCCCGCCGGAAUCCAAUCCAUCCCGCUCACCUACUGGAGGGGGCCUUGCACCGGCCUGCCGCGGUUUUCUAUGCUGACUUCGAAGGGAACAUCCUGCUCACAGAGAGAGGCAGUGUAAUCAUUCUGGCUGUUUCGUGGUUGCUGUCUACAUGAUAUAGCUUCAUCUGUCAUUCCAAUCUCCACACGUCGUGACUCACUCUGAAGACUUCAGGACUGCUUUGAAGGAAACAACCUCUUGAUAUCAUGAGGAGACUUCAAUGAGUAUUAAAUGUAGAGACACAGGGAAGGUGGCCAUCCUCAAAUCAGAGAGAGCCCUUUAGGAGACAGUGGCAUUGUUGGCAGCCUGAUCCACCUUCAUCUUCAAGAAAACUAUGACAUGUCCAGAAGGCAUCUUGCUCCUUGGAGGAUUGAUGACAUCUUCUUCAGAGGUGUAGCCACAGAUGAGUUGCUCCAAUGAGUCACAUCU